GCGGGGGCGACGCGCGCCGCCUCCUGUUAAAGGGGGAGCAGCGCCAGCCGAGCCAAGCGCACCCUCCUCCUCCCCGCCCUGGGCCCCAGGCGCCGGCGCGGGAGAAGCCCCUGGUCCUGAAGACAUGGAGAAGACUCGGAAUGGGGCCCUGACCUUGAGGCCUUUCCAAUGCCCCCUCCGUCCCACCUAGGGAGAGAGGUGUUCUUAUCUGCUGAACUCAUUGCUGUGAAGGAGGCCCCCCAUGUGACCAGGACAGUCACACCGACCUUACGGACGAAGACCGCUGGCAAUCGCUCUGGAUGCCCAGAAAUGACAGCACCAUCCCCUGUAUCCACACCUGCAGGCUGGGGGCCAUGGAGAGGGUGGAGGUACCUGAGAAGAGCUGCUCCCAGCUUCCUGCCCAGGUGGAAAGGGACGGGGAAUCCCUCAAGGAGAGUCUGGGACACUUGGCAGGCAUGGGGCACCCCAGCAGUGGGGGGCCACUGUGUUCCCACCAUCUGGGAUGCCCCAUGUUCUCUCCCCCGGGCUCUCUGCCACCUGGACCCAGCUGGGCUGGGCUGGUGCCAAGCAGGACACAUUGAGCAUAGCAGGCGGGGGGUGGGGGGUGACCUAGAGGUCUAGAGGGACCGACUCAUCCCGUUGAGCCCCUCUGUGGGCCUAACACUAUGCCAGUUGCUUUUAACUUAUUGUCACAAUAAACCCUUACACCGGCAAGGUC